GCAAGUCAGGUCUCGGAAUGCUGACUGAAUAUUCCAUGGCCUUUGUUUUUCUUGCUAGGUGGAUUACUACUUCCUUGGAUGUUUUCAGAAAAUAAGUGAAAUGUGCAGACCGACAACAUGGACGGCAGGUCUUGCGGCUCCCAGCGCCCUCAACCCCCCACUGACCCUCUCUCAAUUUUGAUCUCUCCUCUACUCUUCUGGGUGGCGGUGAGAGCGGGUGUGAAACGGGAGAGGCGGCCAUAGGAGGUAUAUGAUAGGAAAAGAAUUGCUCUAUGGCAGUGCUUUGACUCGGUGACCAGAGACUGACUGGGUGUGCUUGCAGUUUGAGGUUGAUUUUUUCUGGUAUACAUAUAAUUGGAGGUAGGCGCCAUGGACGCCGCUCUUGUGCUCAUCAAGGUCCGCUGCUCCUUGUUCCAGUCCCAUGACAAGCAGCAGCAGCAUCAUGGUCUGCCCCCUCCCACCCUCUCUCGAUUUCCUCUCUUCGCUUCCCUGACCACGUCUCAUCUCUGUUGGGUCAAGGUUGGGUUGGAGCUAUAGCGGCCAGCCACCAGGACGAUGCUGACAGCCAAAGAAAGCUCCUUCCCCACCGCUGACAGCCGAAACCGCUCUUGUGCUCAUCAAGGUUAGUCAAUGUAUAGGACUGCGCUUUUGUGUGUCCUUUUCUUCAAGCUGUCAUUCAGGAGAAGAGAGGAGCGAGGCCUCGAUCCAGACUCAGGAGGAGGAGACGAGGAGCAACACCUAUUUUUAUUGUCCGUCAAGCCCCAUUAUGCUUUGCGGUUCCAGCCACCUGAUCACUAACCUAAAUGAGUAAGUAGACCAUUAUAUAUGAUGGUCUUGCUUCCUUUUGUGAUCAUGUAUCUAUGUUAGAUCCGGUGAGAAAAGGCGGCUUCCAAGCAGAGGAUGCGGCAGUGUUUGGCAACGUUUGGUUUUCAUAAGCUAAUAAUCUAUCCCUUCCUAUCUACUUCCUUUGUGUACCACAUUGUAACUAAGCAUCUAUGUACCAGUAGUAAAGACUUGGGUGUCUGAAUAUUCUCACAAUAGUUGCCUCCCUCUCGCCCUUUGCGUCAUUGGCGCAACGAGUCAUCUAGUAGUUUUAACAACUGAUUG